rnacentral:rRNA from 1 species
UACGUAGGUGGCAAGCGUUACCCGGAAUUAUUGGGCGUAAAGAGCGCGCAGGUGGUUAAUUAAGUCUGAUGUGAAAGCCCACGGCUUAACCGUGGAGGGUCAUUGGAAACUGGUUGACUUGAGUGCAGAAGAGGGAAGUGGAAUUCCAUGUGUAGCGGUGAAAUGCGUAGAGAUAUGGAGGAACACCAGUGGCGAAGGCGGCUCCCUGGUCUGCAACUGACACUGAGGCGCGAAAGCGUGGGGAGCAAACAGG